rnacentral:rRNA from 1 species
UACGGAGGAUGCGAGCGUUAUCCGGAUUUAUUGGGUUUAAAGGGUGCGUAGGCGGGAUGCCAAGUCAGCGGUAAAAAUGCGGUGCUCAACGCCGUCGAGCCGUUGAAACUGGCGUUCUUGAGUGGGCGAGAAGUAUGCGGAAUGCGUGGUGUAGCGGUGAAAUGCAUAGAUAUCACGCAGAACUCCGAUUGCGAAGGCAGCAUACCGGCGCCCUACUGACGCUGAGGCACGAAAGCGUGGGGAGCAAAUAGG